AAAAAGACAAACUUUGAGUUUCCGUGUCCAACGUUUGACCGUCCGUCUUAUUUAAAAAAAUUAAAAAUAUAAGUCACGCAUAAAGUAUUAAUCAUGUUUUAUCAUCUAACAACAAUGAAAAUACUAAUUAUAAAAAAAUUUCAUAUAAGACGGACAAUUAAACGUUGGACACGGAAACUCAGGGUUUGUCUUUUU
rnacentral:pre_miRNA from 1 species